UACAGAGGUCUCAAGCGUUGUUCGGAUUCAUUGGGCGUAAAGCGCACGUAGGCGGAUUGCUAAGUCAGGGGUGAAAUCCUGGAGCUCAACUCCAGAACUGCCCUUGAUACUGGCGGUCUCGAGUCCGGGAGAGGUGAGUGGAACUGCGAGUGUAGAGGUGAAAUUCGUAGAUAUUCGCAAGAACACCCGUGGCGAAGGCGGCUCACUGGCCCGGUACUGACGCUGAGGUGCGAAAGCGUGGGGAGCAAACAGGG
rnacentral:rRNA from 1 species